CUGGGAAAGUCCUUGAAGUGACUAGCAAUGUACCACAGAACCUUGUCUUGGUACAAGCCACAGUUGACCUCUCUGCAAGAGCAGGGGCUCUUUCUACAGGUGUGUCUUGGUUUGAAAGACAGGUGUCUGCCAAGGAAGGCAGGAGUCUCCCUUGAAAUGAAAAAGAAAAUGCAACCCUCUUCCCUCCAAAUUAUUAUAAUUUUGAAAUUAAGGGGUUUUCAGGCAAAGGUAUGAGGAAUAGGAAUAACAGUUCUUUACUAUUAUGUGUAUGUAUAUAUGUGUAUAACAAGGCAAACAAACAGCAAUAACUAUGGCAGUAACAGCAAACAGAACCACAAACCCAGUCCAUCCCUUCUCGGCUGUCGGGCCCUUUCCCCUCGGGUGCAGUUCCGCUCGCAGCCGGCAGGGGCGGUGGCAGCUCCCGGUGAGCAGGGCGGGUGCGAUGGUUCCCCCGCGGCUGCAGGGGGCGCUCCGGAGUGAGCUCGGGGAGCACGCGGCAAUGGCAGCUUGGGGUCCAGGGGAGGGGAUGGAACAAAGGCUUCACAAACCCCCUGGGCAGCCGAUCCCGGUGUCCGGCCAGACCCUCGGGAACAGCAGGCUGGAACAGCAGGCUGGAAUGGCAGGGACGAGCACAAAUCCCGGGUGGCAGACGCGAUAUAUCCAAACGGAGAACGUCCCGGAGGUCUAGGCAGGCAGGGUGAGCACGGCUACAACGCAGCGAAGGCUCGAAGCAGCGGCAGGGCAGGGCGGCCACAGCCCAGCCUCCAGCGGGGCAGGGAAGGUGAGCCAGGGAUCCUGGGCUCUUUCUCCCCAGAAAGAAAAGCAGCCAAAAGAACCAGCAGCUUCUCUCUCCAAACACCGAGAGCGAACUGACCCCACACCCAGGUGAAACAAAAGAGUAGCCAGGUGCACCCCACCCCCAGUGGGUAGCUCUUUGUUUCUUAAGUACCCAGCAAUUAGCAACAGUAUGGGGAAAAUUCCUUUAACAAAAAAAAAAACAAACUAGAACUCUUAAAACUCCA
rnacentral:lncRNA from 1 species